rnacentral:tRNA from 3 species
GUCCGGUUAGUUUAAUUGGUAAAAUACUAUCCUUCCAAGUUAGUGUCACGGGAUCGUAACCCGUACCGGACUCCA